GAUGAAGAACGCAGCGAAAUGCGAUAAGUAAUGUGAAUUGCAGAAUUCCGUGAAUCAUCGAAUCUUUGAACGCACAUUGCGCCCCCUGGCAUUCCGGGGGGCAUGCCUGUCCGAGCGUCAUUUCUGACCUCAAGCACGGCUUGUGUGUUGGGUGUGGUCCCCCCGGGGACCUGCCCGAAAGGCAGCGGCGACGUCCGUCUGGUCCUCGAGCGUAUGGGGCUCUGUCACUCGCUCGGGAAGGACCUGCGGGGGUUGGUCACCACUAUAUUUUACCACGGUUGACCUCGGAUCAGGUAGGAGUUACCCGCUGAACUUAAGCAUAUCAAUAAGCGGAGGA
rnacentral:misc_RNA from 1 species